UUUAUUAGGUUGGUGCAAAGGUAAUUGUGGUUUUUGCUUUUGAGAGUAAUGGCAAAAACCACAUUAGCAUUGUGGUCACAGAAU
rnacentral:miRNA from 1 species